rnacentral:rRNA from 1 species
GACGAACCGUGCGAACGUUAUUCGGAAUCACUGGGCUUAAAGGGCGCGUAGGCGGGCCACCAAGUCAGGGGUGAAAUCCCACGGCUCAACCGUGGAAGUGCCCUUGAUACUGGUGGCCUCGAGGGAGGCAGGGGCGUGCGGAACUUAGGGUGGAGCGGUGAAAUGCGUAGAUAUCCUAAGGAACACCGGUGGCGAAGGCGGCACGCUGGACACCUUCUGACGCUGAGGCGCGAAAGCCAGGGGAGCAAACGGG